AGUGAACGCUGGCGGCAUGCCUAACACAUGCAAGUCGAACGGCAGCACAGUAAGAGCUUGCUCUUCCGGGUGGCGAGUGGCGGGCGGGUGAGGAAUACAUCCGAAUCUGCUUUUUCGUGCGCGAUAACGUCGGGAAACUUACGCCAAUACCGCAUACGACCUACGGGGGAAAGCAGGGGACCUUCGGACCUUGCGCGAUUGAAUGAGCCGAUGUCGGAUUAGCUAGUUGGCGGGGUAAAGGCCCACCAAGGCGACGAUCCGUAGCUGGUCUGAGAGGAUGAUCAGCCACACUGGAACUGAGACACGGUCCAGACUCCUACGGGAGGCAGCAGCGGGGAAUAUUGGACAAUGGGCGCAAGCCUGAUCCAGCCAUACCGCGUGAGUGAAGAAGGCCUUCGGGUUGUAAAGCCCUUUUGUUGGGAAAGAAAAGCAGCAGGUUAAUACCCCGCGGUUCUGACGGUACCGGAAGAAUAAGCACCGGCUAACUACGUG
rnacentral:rRNA from 1 species